GACGAACGCUGGCGGCGUGCCUAAUACAUGCAAGUCGAACGAGAGCGACCGGUGCUUGCACUGGUCAAUCUAGUGGCGAACGGGUGAGUAACACGUGGGUAACCUGCCCAUCAGAGGGGGAUAACAUCCGGAAACGGAUGCUAAAACCGCAUAGGUCUUCGAACCGCAUGGUUUGAAGAGGAAAAGAGGCGCAAGCUUCUGCUGAUGGAUGGACCCGCGGUGCAUUAGCUAGUUGGUGAGGUAACGGCUCACCAAGGCCGUGAUGCAUAGCCGACCUGAGAGGGUGAUCGGCCACAUUGGGACUGAGACACGGCCCACACUCCUACGGGAGGCAGCAGUAGGGAAUCUUCCGCAAUGGACGCAAGUCUGACGGAGCAACGCCGCGUGAGUGAAGAAGGUUUUCGGAUCGUAAAACUCUGUUGUUAGAGAAGAACAAGUGCUAGAGUAACUGUUAGCGCCUUGACGGUAUCUAACCAGAAAGCCACGGCUAACUACGUG
rnacentral:rRNA from 1 species